AACGAACGCUGGCGGCAUGCCUAACACAUGCAAGUCGAACGAGACCUUCGGGUCUAGUGGCGCACGGGUGCGUAACGCGUUGGAACCUGCCCUUAGGUUCGGAAUAACUCCCCGAAAGGGGUGCUAAUACCGGAUAAUGUCUUCGGACCAAAGAUUUAUCGCCUUUGGAUGGGCCCGCGUUGGAUUAGCUAGUUGGUAGGGUAAAAGCCUACCAAGGCGACGAUCCAUAGCUGGUCUGAGAGGAUGAUCAGCCACACUGGGACUGAGACACGGCCCAGACUCCUACGGGAGGCAGCAGUGGGGAAUAUUGGACAAUGGGCGAAAGCCUGAUCCAGCAAUGACGCGUGAGUGAUGAAGGCCUUAGGGUUGUAAAGCUAUUUUACCCGGGAUGAUAAUGACAGUACCGGGAGAAUAAGCUCCGGCUAACUCCGUG
rnacentral:rRNA from 1 species